UACGGAGGGUCCGAGCGUUAUCCGGAUUUAUUGGGUUUAAAGGGUGCGUAGGUGGCUUAUUAAGUCAGGGGUGAAAGACGGUAGCUUAACUAUCGCAGUGCCUUUGAUACUGAUGAGCUUGAAUAUACUAGAGGUAGGCGGAAUGUGACAAGUAGCGGUGAAAUGCAUAGAUAUGUCACAGAACACCAAUUGCGAAGGCAGCUUACUAUGGUUUUAUUGACACUGAGGCACGAAAGCGUGGGGAUCAAACAGG
rnacentral:rRNA from 1 species